rnacentral:tRNA from 1 species
GGUGAUUUGGCAGAUUAGUGCAUUAAAUUUAGAUUUUAAAAAAGUGGUUUAUUUUCACAUUCACUA